UCCUCACACUCAGUAUAUCCCCAUCGAAGCUCAUCGGCCUUCCCUCUUGUCUCCUGGAACAACGUUCUCAUGGAAGAGUGAUGGGAUCUGGGGCAGGCUCAUGCUAUUUAUUGUCUCCUACCUUUUUGAGGAGAGAGGUAAUUCUCCUGAUGUCAGCUAAUCAUAUUUUUCUUUCAGCCCCUCUCCUGUCUUGACUUAUUUCUACCUGUUGUGGUAAAGGGCAGCAAAUGUGGUAAAGGGCACCAAUAAUCAUCACUGGGAGAUAGUCUUAAAGCAAAUAAAUUAUAGGUUCAGAAGUUACAUCUAAUCAUCUAUUCACUCACUCAUUCAUUCAUUCAAUAUUAUUAAAUGUCUCUUAUAUACACAACUUCUCCUACUGCUGUGAGAGAUGUAAAAGCCACACUCUUCAAUUUCAAAAAUUACACAAUGCCAUCGGACAAUGAGAGCCGCACAAUAAAGGGCUCUAACACAUCACAGAAUAACCAGUGUUCUGAAAGUGAUGUCAAUGCAGAGGAAGUUCAGGAGAGAGGAAUCUGAGGGAAGCGCAUCUGCAACAAACUAAAAAUCAGCAUGCUAGAAACACAUGAUGAUGGGCUGGUAUGGAUUGAAUUGUGUUUCCCCAAAUUUAUAUGGUCAAGUCCUAACCCCCAAUCCUUCAGAACGUAACCGUACUUGAAGAUCAAGUUUUUAAAGAGGUGAUUAACUUCAGGUGAGGUGAUUAGGUGGGCCCUAAUCUGACAGGACUGGUGUCCCUGUCAGAGGAGGAGAUGUUGGACACAUGGAGAGAGACACCAAACACAUGUGCACACUGCAGGCUGGCAUGUGAAGACACGGGGAGAAGACUGCUAUCGGCAAGCCAAGUAGAGAGGCUUCAGAAGAAACCAAACCUGCGGACAUCUCACCAGAACUCUCCUGGUCCCCUCCCAGCAUGCAGUAGGAUAUCAAGAAAUGACUGUUGAAUGAAUGAAUGGAAUCCAUGGAAUCAUGGUGUGCCUGCAGCUGGAAUUUGGUAGAACUAUCAUACAUUAAGAGAGACCUGAUGCAGAUAUUAAAAAUUCCAAAGACUGUGGAGAGAUAGUGGCUGGCAGGAGUGUUUCUGUUGUUGUCGCCAUCACCAUCAGCAUCACCAACACCAUCAUCACUAUUAUCAUUAUCAUUAUCAACAAGCACUGAUGUGUAUUGUAUUUGCAAUGCACUAUGUUAAAUGUUUGGGCUCCA